rnacentral:lncRNA from 1 species
UCCUUGCCUUCUAAUUCUGGUUCUAUUUGUUUUACAAGAAUCUCUUUCUUCCCAGCUGUUAACUUAACAGGCCAUGAUGCUCCAGAGUGCGAAUAUCCGUCAAUUACGCAGCAUUAGUCAGCCCCUGAGCGAGCACGCUGCAGAUGAUGGAAGCAAACAGGGAAGAAUGAGGGACAGGGCUGCCUCCGUUCACAGGCAUUACUCUUUGGAGCAUGAAGCAGGUAUUCAAUUCCCUUCCUACGUGUUGUGGAGAAACUGUAAUCCUUUAAAGAUUACUGACAAACACAAUGAAAAAAAGAAGUUGAUAGACCAAAAUAUGAAGAACAAAAAACUGUGGAAACCCAGAAGACCCUGCCUUGAAGCAGUUGCAAUGGUGGUGUUUCAGUGUGAACAUGACUGUGAGGACUAA